CAAAAAUCAACAAAAUACUGAAAAGUAUCUAGAAUCAUGACAGAACUGGGUGAAGAAAUGAAUUUUGAAGUCAGACAUACAGGUUUGAAGGCCAGCUCUGCCCCUAAUUGCUUAUAAGUCAUUAAACUUCUCAGAGCUUUGGUUUCCUCAUCUGUAAAAUGGGGAUAGUAAUCUACUUCAUGGAUUGCCGGGGUCCAGCCCCGGCUGAUCCAGGGUAUUCGAAGGAGAGACAGCCUAGGCGACUAUUUAUAUAUUAAUUAGAGAUAUAAAGAGUAAUAGAAUGAGGAUAGCUCAGUAGGAAAAUUCAGUGGAGAAAAGAGGCUGAGUAGCUUGGUUUACGCGGAAAAUCAAUAUAACCUGUGACACCAGGUUAGCUCUGACCAUGGAGGCCGCAGGCGCCCUCUCGAAUAGCAGAAGGUGCCCCACCUUAGACACCUUCUCGAGUGGGUCUUAGAAGCCCAGGCAAAUAAAUGGUCGCAGAGGAUAUCCGCGCUCCAGAUGGAGACUUCAGCCAGAAUGUGAAAAGAAUGACAUGCGGAGACCAAGCGCUGAUGAGAUUAAUAUUGAAAUCUGUGUAAAGCAGAUUAGCCUUUAUAAUGUGGGUGAGCCUCAUUUGAAAAGUUGAAGGCCUGAGGAGUAGAACAAAGACUGACCUCUGCUGAACAAGAGGGGAUUCUGCCAGCAGGUCUGCAGUGGUUCAAGAUUCCAAACAUUGUUUCACAGUUAUGUUCCUUAUUAAUAGUCACACAUUUCACUAUCUCAUCACAUCGACUCCUGGGAGGUCUCAAGUGAGGUUUCUUAACAGGACAAAGGUGUGUCAUCACGUGAUUCUCCAAACUUCCAAGCUGAGAUUCUUGCUGGAAAGCAAACAGCACUCUUCGUUCUUCGAUGUCCUGAUGGCACAGAGGAAUGGUAAGGGCUUAUCAGGUCUUCAACAGACUGUGUGGACCCCUCUGAGCAUCUAUUCCCACCUCCCCCAUCCCCAAGACAUCCACAAUGAAGGUCCAUCCUCUCUCCAGUUGCCCGACUCACUUAACCUUGGGAUGGGGUUGGCGAGGCCAUGCUGUCUUUGGAAGAGCAUCUCCAGCUUGUUUGAUUCUUCCUCCAACCCCAUAGACAAUUGUGGCAUGUUUUUCCCCAGCUUUAUCGAGGUAUGAUUGACG
ensembl:lncRNA